rnacentral:rRNA from 1 species
AUUGAACGCUGGCGGCAGGCCUAACACAUGCAAGUCGAACGGCAGCACAGAAGAGCUUGCUCUUUGGGUGGCAAGUGGCGGACGGGUGAGUAAUGUCUGGGAAACUGCCCGAUGGAGGGGGAUAACUACUGGAAACGGUAGCUAAUACCGCAUAACGUCGCAAGACCAAAGUGGGGGACCUUCGGGCCUCACACCAUCGGAUGUGCCCAGAUGGGAUUAGCUAGUAGGUGGGGUAAUGGCUCACCUAGGCGACGCUCCCUAGCUGGUCUGAGAGGAUGACCAGCCACACUGGAACUGAGACACGGUCCAGACUCCUACGGGAGGCAGCAGUGGGGAAUAUUGCACAAUGGGCGCAAGCCUGAUGCAGCCAUGCCGCGUGUAUGAAGAAGGCCUUCGGGUUGUAAAGUACUUUCAGCGGGGAGGAAGGCGGUGAGGUUAAUAACCUUGCCGAUUGACGUUACCCGCAGAAGAAGCACCGGCUAACUCCGUGCCAGCCGCCGCAGUAA